rnacentral:rRNA from 1 species
AAUCUUGGACAAUGGGCGAAAGCCUGAUCCAGCCAUGCCGCGUGAGUGACGAAGGCCUUAGGGUCGUAAAGCUCUUUCGCCUGCGAAGAUAAUGACGGUAGCAGGUAAAGAAACCCCGGCUAACUCCGUGCCAGCAGCCGCGGUAAUACGGAGGGGGUUAGCGUUGUUCGGAAUUACUGGGCGUAAAGCGUACGUAGGCGGAUCAGAAAGUUAGGGGUGAAAUCCCAGGGCUCAACCCUGGAACUGCCUCUAAAACUCCUGGUCUUGAGUUCGAGAGAGGUGAGUGGAAUUCCAAGUGUAGAGGUGAAAUUCGUAGAUAUUUGGAGGAACACCAGUGGCGAAGGCGGCUCACUGGCUCGAUACUGACGCUGAGGUACGAAAGUGUGGGGAGCAAACAGGAUUAGAUACCCUGGUAGUCCACACCGUA